CAGGAGUCGGGCUCACCAAUGGAGCCCCAAUCAGUCAGUCAGGAGUGAAGAUGAAAGCUUCAAAGGCAUUGAUGACUCACUUCUCACUUGAGUCCAGACCCAUCUGGAUUGCCUGCAAAAAGGUCUCGGCAGUGACCUGAAAACAUAUGUAAAUUACCCAACCAAUUCUAACCAGGACCUGCUGUCUGGCAAUUCAUCCCCAUGUUCUAGACUUGUCCAACAAGCACCCAAGCAACUUUGAGUUCCAUCCUGCAACUCUCAGUCAGGCUCAAGAAAAGCCCCAAUUUUAUCUGGGCAUGGUGACACAUGACUGUAAUCCCAGCUACUCGGGAGGCUGAGGCAGUUGAAUCGCUUGAACCCAGGAAGCGAAGGCUGCAGUGAGCCGAGAUCAUGCCACUGCACUCCAGCCUGGGCAACACAGCGAGACUGUCUCAAAAUAAAAUUAAAAUUAAAUUUUUUAAAAAGGCC
rnacentral:lncRNA from 10 species